rnacentral:lncRNA from 1 species
GACGAGAUGUGGCUGUAGCAUUUUCGCGAGUGGCAAGUAACUUCUUUUUGGAGUUUCUAGCAUUCUUUUAUAACGCACAGUCUUCCUGCUUCAAGACGCACGUAAAGAGAAUGAGGCCAGGGAUAAUAAACCAAGAGCAGCAAACCUUUCGAGCUCGGGAGGAUGGCUUUGUUCUUGGGCUCCUUGAAAACUUCGAUCCUGGCCUUCGUCGUCACAGCAGCUGUGCUCCAACAAGUUAGCGCUGUAAGUUUGAUGCUUGAUAAUCACCGCAUCACUUCUUGACGUCUUGUCUCGUCUCUGUGGCUUGCAGAACUGCGAUGUCAAAACUUUCAACAGUACCGAGUGCCGGGACAUCCACUACGACAGCAUCGAAGAUUACCUCUACGUGACUUGCCGCGCGCACGGCAACUGGUUUAGUGACCGCUACCACCUCCAGGUUCUCUUGCAGUACGAGAACAACGAGCUCCAGUGCGGGG